rnacentral:rRNA from 1 species
GAUGAACGCUGGCGGCGUGCUUAACACAUGCCAGUCGAACGGGAAACCUUUUAUUGAAGCUUCGGCAGAUUUCGCUGGUUUCUAGUGGCGGACGGGUGAGUAACGCGUGGGUAACCUGCCUUAUACAGGGGGAUAACAACCAGAAAUGGUUGCUAAUACCGCAUAAGCGCACAGGACCGCAUGGUCCGGUGUGAAAAACUCCGGUGGUAUAAGAUGGACCCGCGUUGGAUUAGCUAGUUGGCAGGGUAACGGCCUACCAAGGCGACGAUCCAUAGCCGGCCUGAGAGGGUGAACGGCCACAUUGGGACUGAGACACGGCCCAGACUCCUACGGGAGGCAGCAGUGGGGAAUAUUGCACAAUGGGGGAAACCCUGAUGCAGCGACGCCGCGUGAAGGAAGAAGUAUCUCGGUAUGUAAACUUCUAUCAGCAGGGAAGAUAGUGACGGUACCUGACGAAGAAGCCCCGGCUAACUACGUG